rnacentral:rRNA from 1 species
UGAAUACGAGAUGCUUCGGCGUCGAAGCAGUCUAUGUCAUACUUCCAAGAAAAGCUCGCACUGUCAUAAACAAAUAAUGCCUGUACCAUAACCGACACAGGUGGGUAGGUAGAGUAUACUAAGGGGCGCGAGAUAACUCUCUCUAAGGAACUCGGCAAAAUGACUCCGUAACUUCGGGAGAAGGAGUGCCUUAUUUAUAAGGUUGCAAUAACAAGAUCCAAGCAACUGUUUAUCAAAAACACAGGUCUCCGCUAAGUCGUAAGACGAUGUAUGGGGGCUGACGCCUGCCCAGUGCCAGAAGGUUAAAGAAGUUGGUUAGCAUUCGCGAAGCUGAUAACUGAAGCCCUGGUGAACGGCGGCCGUAACUAUAACGGUCCUAAGGUAGCGAAAUUCCUUGUCGGGUAAGUUCCGACCCGCACGAAAGGCGUAAUGAUUUGGAUACUGUCUCGGAGAGGGGCUCGGUGAAAUAGACUUGUCUGUGAAGAUGCGGACUACCUGCACCAGGACAGAAAGACCCUAUGAAGCUUUACUGUAACUUGAGAUUGAAAUUGGACUUUACUUGCGCAGUAUAGGUGGGAGGCGUUGAUAAUAUUCUUGCGGGAUUAUUUGAGCCAUCAGUGAGAUACCACUCUUGUAAUGUUAGAUUUCUAACUUUGUAUCAUUAUCUGGUCAAAGGACAGUUUCAGGCGGGCAGUUUGACUGGGGCGGUCGCCUCCUAAACGGUAACGGAGGCGCACAAAGGUUUCCUCUGAACGGGUAGAAAUCGUAUCUAGAGUGUAAAGGCAUAAGGAAGCUUGACUGUGAGACCUACAAGUCGAGCAGGGACGAAAGUCGGUCUUAGUGAUCUGACGGUGCUGAGUGGAAAGGCCGUCACUCAACGGAUAAAAGUUACUCUAAGGAUAACAGGCUGAUCUCCCCCAAGAGUUCACAUCGACGGGGAGGUUUGGCACCUCGAUGUCGGCUCAUCGCAUCCUGGGGCGGUAGUACGUCCCAAGGGUUGGGCUGUUCGCCCAUGAAAGCGGUACGCGAGCUGGGUUCAGAACGUCGUGAGACAGUUCGGUCCAUAUCCGGUGUAGGCGUUAGAAUAUUGAGAGGAGCCUUCUUUAGUACGAGAGGACCGAGAAGGACAUACCUCUGGUGUACCAGUUAUCGUGCCAACGGUAAACGCUGGGUAGCUAUGUAUGGAGUGGAUAACCGCUGAAAGCAUCUAAGUGGGAAGCCCACCUCAAGAUAAGUAUUCUC